AGUUGUAGGUGGCUGUGUAGUUGUAGGUGGCUGUGUCGUGGUUCCUGGUGCCGUAGUUGUAGGUGGCUGUGUUAUUACAAUUACUGUUGAAGUUGUAGGUUGCUGUUGAGUUGUAGGUGGCUGUGUAGUUGUAGGUGGCUGUGUUGUCGUUCCUGGUGCCGUAGUUGUAGGUGGCUGUGUAGUUGUAGGUUGCUGUGUAGUUGUAGGUGGCUGUCUUGUAGUUCCUAGUGCCGUGGUUGUAGGUGGAUGUGUUGUGGGUCCUGCUGCCGUAGUUGUAGGUGGCUGUGUUGCGGUUCCUGGUGCCGUAGUUGUGGGUGGCUGUGUUGUGGUUUCUGAUCCCGUAGUUAUAGGUGGCUGUGUUAUUACAAUUACUGUUGAAGUUGUAGGUUGCUGUUGAGUUGUAGGUGGCUGUGUAGUUGUAGGUGGCUGUGUUGUGGGUCCUGGUGCCGUAGUUGUAGGUGGC